rnacentral:rRNA from 1 species
UACGGGGGGGGCAAGCGUUGUUCGGAAUUAUUGGGCGUAAAGGGCUCGUAGGUUGCCAACUAAGUCAGACGUGAAAUCCCUCAGCUUAACUGGGGAACUGCGUCUGAUACUGGAUGGCUUGAGUUUGGGAGAGGGAUGCGGAAUUCCAGGUGUAGCGGUGAAAUGCGUAGAUAUCUGGAGGAACACCGGUGGCGAAGGCGGCAUCCUGGACCAACACUGACACUGAGGAGCGAAAGCCAGGGGAGCAAACGGG